rnacentral:rRNA from 1 species
UACGUAGGUGGCGAGCGUUGUCCGGAAUUACUGGGUGUAAAGCGCGUGUAGGCGGGAGGCCAAGUCUGUGGUCGAAAUCGCCUGGCUUAACUGGGCGGGGUCCAUGGAAACUGGUCACCUGGAGGUCGGUAGAGGCAAGUGGAAUUCCCGGUGUAGCGGUGGAAUGCGUAGAGAUCGGGAAGAACAUCAGUGGCGAAGGCGGCCUGCUGGGCUGUUGCUGACGCUGAGGCGCGACAGCGGUGGGGAGCAAACAGG